rnacentral:rRNA from 1 species
UAGGGAAUCUUCGGCAAUGGACGAAAGUCUGACCGAGCAACGCCGCGUGAGUGAAGAAGGUUUUCGGAUCGUAAAACUCUGUUGUUAGAGAAGAACAAGGACGUUAGUAACUGAACGUCCCCUGACGGUAUCUAACCAGAAAGCCACGGCUAACUACGUGCCAGCAGCCGCGGUAAUACGUAGGUGGCAAGCGUUGUCCGGAUUUAUUGGGCGUAAAGCGAGCGCAGGCGGUUUCUUAAGUCUGAUGUGAAAGCCCCCGGCUCAACCGGGGAGGGUCAUUGGAAACGGGGAGACUUGAGUGCAGAAGAGGAGAGUGGAAUUCCAUGUGUAGCGGUGAAAUGCGUAGGUAUAUGGAGGAACACCAGUGGCGAAGGCGGCUCUCUGGUCUGUAACUGACGCUGAGGCUCGAAAGCGUGGGGAGCAAACAGG